CUCUUCUUGUUUAUUAAUUUUAAGUAUGGCCUGCCCACUGAUGUACAUUAAAGGGCCGCGGUAUUUUGACCGUGCAAAGGUAGCGUAAUCAUUAGUUCUUUAAUUGUGAACAGGUAUGAAUGGCUUGACGAGGCACUAUCUGUCUUUGUUUAAGGAAUGUAUUGAAUUUGGUUUUUGGGUAAAAAUACCUAGAUUUUUUUGUGGGACGAGAAGACCCUAUAGAGUUUUAUAUAAUUUUUCUCUUUGUGGUUUGUUUAAAAGUUUUCUGGUUUUGUUAUAUUUUGUUGGGGCGAUGGGAGGGUAAGUUUAACCCCUCCUUUAAUUAUUUUCAUUUAUUUAUGUUUUUUUGAUCCUUUAAUAUUGAUUAUAAGAUUAAAUUACC
rnacentral:rRNA from 1 species